rnacentral:rRNA from 1 species
AUUGAACGCUGGCGGCAGGCCUAACACAUGCAAGUCGAACGAGUGGCGGACGGGUGAGUAAUGUCUGGGAAACUGCCUGAUGGAGGGGGAUAACUACUGGAAACGGUAGCUAAUACCGCAUACCAUCGGAUGUGCCCAGAUGGGAUUAGCUAGUAGGUGGGGUAACGGCUCACCUAGGCGACGAUCCCUAGCUGGUCUGUGGGGAUGAGCAGUCAAACGGGAACUAAGACACGGUCCAGACUCCUACGGGAGGCAGCAGUGGGGAAUAUUGGACAAUGGGCGAAAGCCUGAUCCAGCCAUGCCGCGUGAGUGAAGAAGGUCUUCGGAUUGUAAAGCACUUUAAGUUGGGAGGCGUUACCAACAGAAUAAGCACCGGCUAACUUCGUGCCAGCAGCCGCGGUAAUAC